rnacentral:rRNA from 1 species
UGGGGAAUAUUGGACAAUGGGCGCAAGCCUGAUCCAGCCAUGCCGCGUGAGUGAUGACGGCCCUAGGGUUGUAAAGCUCUUUCGCCAGGGACGAUAAUGACGGUACCUGGAUAAGAAGCCCCGGCUAACUUCGUGCCAGCAGCCGCGGUAAUACGAAGGGGGCUAGCGUUGUUCGGAAUCACUGGGCGUAAAGCGCACGUAGGCGGAUCUUUAAGUCAGGGGUGAAAUCCCGGGGCUCAACCUCGGAACUGCCUGUGAUACUGGGGAUCUCGAGUUCGGGAGAGGUGAGUGGAACUGCGAGUGUAGAGGUGAAAUUCGUAGAUAUUCGCAAGAACACCAGUGGCGAAGGCGGCUCACUGGCCCGAUACUGACGCUGAGGUGCGAAAGCGUGGGGAGCAAACA